CUUGGAGCACCAGCUGUGAGUUACAAACUGGGAACCCAAAGGUGGACAAGUCAUGGUCACAACUCUUGAGGAAUUCAGCGGCUCCUCUGAUUACUGGAGGCCACUCUGCUGGUGUGUCCUCAAGCUGCAAGCCCCAGAAUUUCCAGUGUCUGGAAGCAGCCCUCAGCCAAGCUUGAUGGGAUUUGAUGACGCUAAGAAAAUAAUGGUGAUGAACUCAUUUGCAGGUCUCAGGCAAUGAUGGAAAACUUAUUUGGAUUCAAAACCAAAACAUCAUUUUGAAUUGGAAAGAUGCUGUGUAUGUAUACAGACAUAUGCAUUUUAGAAUCAAGAAACUGAAAAUGUCAAAAUAUGGCUAUCUCUUCAGAGCUAUGUUGAACCCAAAGAAGAUGAUUAUUUGCAAAUGGCACCCCUGCCCAGAAUUUUGCUGGCAGGAGGUAUAAGAUCCCACUGGAAGCAGUGAACUUCACCUCCCACCAGGAAAGUCUGGGGCUAAGGGUUUAGUACAAUAGGGUCAUACAAAAUAUCCUGUGCCAACUAUUUUAACUAGUAUGAAAAUAGUUCAAUUUGAAGAUGUAUAAAACUUUACGUAGGAGUUUAGCUAAGAAAUAAUCUCUCAUCAUCUCCAUUUUCUUUCUUUUAUGGGGUGUUUUGGCAGAACCUCUUCUGACCAUAAACAAGCAGGGCUAAAGGGGAGAUCAUUUUAGGGCCAUUACCUGUGUUCUUUCUCUUGAGGAAAAAUAUGGAAAGAGUCCAGCAUUCCUCAUUCAUAGUUCACUUUCCAGUGUGUAACAAUCCAUCCAAGGCUCAUCUUUUCAAGUGCCCUCUGGAUUUGUAGGGGAG